CCCGCUGAACUUAAGCAUAUCAAUAAGCGGAGGAAAAGAAACUAACAAGGAUUCCCCUAGUAACUGCGAGUGAAGCGGGAAAAGCUCAAAUUUUAAAUCUGGCGGCCCUCCUGUGGGUUGUCCGAGUUGUAAUCUAGAGAAGUGCUUUCCGCGCUGGACCGUGUACAAGUCUCUUGGAAUGGAGCGUCGUAGAGGGUGACAAUCCCGUCUUUGACACAGACUCCCUAGUGCUUUGUGAUGCGCUCUCGACGAGUCGAGUUGUUUGGGAUUGCAGCUCAAAAUGGGAGGUAAAUUCCUUCUAAAGCUAAAUAUUGGCGAGAGACCGAUAGCGAACAAGUACCGUGAGGGAAAGAUGAAAAGCACUUUGGAAAGAGAGUUAAACAGUACGUGAAAUUGUUAAAAGGGAAACGCUUGAAGUCAGUCACGUUUGCUUGGACUCAGCCUUACUUCGGUUUGGUGCAUUUCCUUGCAGACGGGCCAGCGUCCAUGUUGUUUGCCGGAGAAGGGGUUGAGGGAAUGUGGCUCCUUCGGGAGUGUUAUAGCCCUCACUCGUAUGCGGGGAGUGAUAUGGAGUGACACAGCACGCUUCGGUGGUGCUUGUGCUGGCAUAAUGGCUUUAAACGACCCGUCUUGAAACACGG
rnacentral:rRNA from 1 species